rnacentral:lncRNA from 1 species
GUGGUAAUACCAAGUAUAUUUUAAACCAGCAUUAAAUGAGACAGAAUAGAACCAAUGGAUUAUAAGAAUGAAGAUGUGACUGAGAGCUUCCAUACACCUCACUACAAGAGCCGGGUUCUGUUUGAAGAUGGAAAUUCAUUGACAGUGGCAGAGAGGUCUUCCUGUUCAGGAAUCCUUUGGAGCAAUUUUCCGUAUCCAGGUUCUUCCCCUGUUAUUUCUAAGAAAGCUCUUUUUUAUCAAAGAUAUUAAAAGAAAAGGGCACAGUGUUUGUACUUAAAAUAAGUUUUUUGUACAUGACUGGGGAAUAGUUUUCUUUAACAAAUGAUUCAGACCUUUUUACAAAGCAACUUCCAUUUACAUCAAAUAAAUUUACAAUACACAUUCCAAUGGAUAUGAAAAGAUACAAUUUAUAAGUGAAACGGUUAGGGAAGCUUUUUUUUAUUUAACACCAGUCAACCAGUCUAUUUUGGUAGUCUUUUGAGCUUCAAAGGAGACAUUCCUUAACAAAGAAUGUUGUCCUUUUUAUAUUACCUAGUUAUGAUAUCUUAGCAGCAGUUCAUAAAUGUUUUAAAGCAAGUAGAUUGUAAUAAACUAUAUUUAGCAGCACAAUCAAGUAAUCCAGAUUAGGAGUGAAAAAGCAAAAAUGAAUAAACCAUUAACAAAGGUUAACAUUUUCAGGAAAAAAAUGCAAAUAAAGAGUUUGCAUCAAAUCAUUUUAGGGUAUACCUCCUAUGGUUCAUAAGUUAAUUGUUGAUUAAUAGAUCUAGAAAGUCUUCAUCCAGAUUUAAUUUUUAAAAUGGGAAUACAUUGUUGUUUCCAAAAUUGUAACACUGAUGUAUUGCGACAAAACAAAUUAUAUUUCCUACAAUCUAUGAAGUACAGAAGUUAUUUUAAAAGAAUAUAAAUCUGCCUCAUUCCUCUUUAAUGGGGCAGUUUAAUAUGCUUAAACAAGGUCUACUUUUUAGAGAUGAUUCUACAAAUAUCUCAUCAUCUUUUAACCAUGCUUUUAUUGCAUCAUUUGACUAAGUCUAUGAUGUAUUAUUUUCUGAGAUUCCAAAGCCAGAGGUAAAUACGGUAGAUAAGUACAGCUUUAACUGACUCUAUCAACAUGUUGCUGUUGGAAAUACAAGGCUAUUAUUGAAAUUACAGACUACCGUAUUACAUUCAGGAUAAUUAUUUAAGACAAAGUUAAUUUUCUGUAUGCAUCCUACUUGCUUGUAGAUCCUCCCUUGUGGGGAAAGAAUGCAUUUCCUUAUCCUAUCUUCCUUUCAUGGUUUCUCUCUCAAUCAUUAUUCUUGUAAGAAUGGGCCCUGCAUACAUGAAAUGAUGGGUUGUAUUCGCAUUUAGAAAUGUUGGCACCAUCAUGGUUUCUGACCAAGCCAGACCAAGGCAUUUUGCUGUCUAAGAUAAAGCAACAAAUAUUAUUCACCAAGCACUCAUUUCAAGGCACAGAAUACGUGAAGCCAACUAAAUUAAUUUGUUCCUCUGGCAGAAAAUCCCACAAGCAUCUCUCCCCAUCCUUGACAGUGACAAUAUAAUAGUAAUUUUCAUGGUUUGAUUUUUUUUAAAAAAACACACCUGAUUAUUUAUCUACUUGGGAAAUAUUCAGUAGGAUUCCAAUAAUAAUAAUAAUAAUAAUAAUAAUAAUAAUAAUAAUAAUAAUAAUAAUAAUAAUAAUAAUAAUAAUGCCUCAAGUACCACCUGCCAACAGCAAAGAACUGGUGGGAUCACAAACCAGCAAAGGUCGUGGAAAAUGAACACGCAAAGAUAC